CACGUAGGGCGCAAGCGUUGUCCGGAAUUUAUUGGGCGUAAAGAGCUCGUAGGCGGUCUGUUGCGUCUGCUGUGAAAACUCGGGGCUUAACCCCGAGCCUGCAGUGGAUACGGGCAGACUAGAGGUAGGUAGGGGAGAAUGGAAUUCCCGGUGUAGCGGUGAAAUGCGCAGAUAUCGGGAGGAACACCGGUGGCGAAGGCGGUUCUCUGGGCCUUACCUGACGCUGAGGAGCGAAAGCGUGGGGAGCAAACAGG
rnacentral:rRNA from 1 species